AGCGAACGCUGGCGGCAGGCCUAACACAUGCAAGUCGAACGGAUCCUUCGGGAUUAGUGUCGGACGGGUGUGUCACACGUAGGAACGUGCUCUUUCGUUCGGAACAACACAGGGAAACUUGAGCUAAUACCGGAUGUGCCCUUCGGGGGAAAGGUUUAUCGCCAUUGGAGCGGCCCGCGUCUGAUUAGCUAGUUGGUGAGGUAAAGGCUCACCAAGGCGACGAUCAGUAGCUGGUCUGAGAGGAUGAUCAGCCACAUUGGGACUGAGACACGGCCCAAACUCCUACGGGAGGCAGCAGUGGGGAAUCUUGCGCAAUGGGCGAAAGCCUGACGCAGCCAUGCCGCGUGAAUGAUGAAGGUCUUAGGAUUGUAAAAUUCUUUCACCGGGGACGAUAAUGACGGUACCGGGAGAAGAAGCCCCGGCUAACUUCGUGCCAGCCGCCGCAGUAACAC
rnacentral:rRNA from 1 species